rnacentral:rRNA from 1 species
UACAGAGGGUGCAAGCGUUAAUCGGAUUUACUGGGCGUAAAGGGCGCAUAGGUGGUUGUGUAAGUGAGAUGUGAAAUCCCCGGGCUCAACCUGGGAACUGCGUCUUAUACUGCAUAGCUUGAGUACAUGAGAGGGUAGUGGAAUUUCCGGUGUAGCGGUGAAAUGCGUAGAUAUCGGAAGGAACACCAGUGGCGAAGGCGGCUACCUGGCAUGAUACUGACACUGAGGCGCGAGAGCGUGGGGAGCAAACAGG